rnacentral:rRNA from 1 species
GUAACGGCGAGUGAAGCGGCAACAGCUCAAAUUUGAAAUCUGGCCUUGUGCCCGAGUUGUAAUUUGUAGAGGAUGCUUUUGGCACGGUACCUUCCGAGUUACCUGGAACGGUUCGCCACAGAGGGUGAGAGCCCCGUAUGGUUGGAUACCUAGCCUUUGUAAAGCUCCUUCGACGAGUCGAGUAGUUUGGGAAUGCUGCUCAAAAUGGGAGGUAAAUUUCUUCUAAAGCUAAAUACCGGCCAGAGACCGAUAGCGCACAAGUAGAGUGAUCGAAAGAUGAAAAGCACUUUGAAAAGAGGGUUAAACAGCACGUGAAAUUGUUGAAAGGGAAGCGCUUGUGACUAGACUAGGAUCCCUGUAAAUCAAUUGGCGUUCUCGCCAGUGCACUUUACAGGGUAUCAUGCCAGCAUCGGUUCUUCGAGGGGGAUAAAAACUUCAGGAACGUGGCUCCCUCGGGAGUGUUAUAGCCUGUUGUAGAAUACCCUUUAGGGGACCGAGGUACGCGUUCUCAAGGAUGCAUGGCUUAAUGGUCAUCAGCGGCCCGUCUUGAAACACGGACCAAGGAGUCAAGCAUUAGGGCGAGUGUUUGGGUGUUAAACCCGCACGCGUAAUGAAAGUGAAUGUAGGUGAGAGCUUCGGCGCAUCAUCGACCGAUCCUGAUGUUCUCGGAUGGAUUUGAGUAAGAGCCUUACCGCUUGGACCCGAAAGAUGGUGAACUAUGCCUGUAUAGGGUGAAGCCAGAGGAAACUCUGGUGGAGGCUCGCAGCGGUUCUGACGUGCAAAUCGAUCGUCAAAUAUGGGCAU